ACAAUCGUCCUCACAAGCUGAUGCCUCUGAGAGCGGAACAGCCUUAGACUGGAAUUAUAAAAAUCCAUGUGGAAUAGAUGAUGGACCAAACUAAAACAGGUAAACAUCAUUUUAUCCUAUGGAUUGUUUGCACACACAGCCUUCCUUCGCUUCCUCUUGGGGUAUAUUUAAGAGAGCAACUAAAGAGAGCAGUUCAGCUUGAGAAAAAGCUCUCAUCCCACCUUCAAAAUGAAAGUGCUAAACUCAAGGAAUUAAGAACUGCAUCUUCUCCUGUUGUCGGCUUCAUUUUUGCACCGUUUUCUUGUUACUGUUCUUAUAAUAAAUCUAAUAUAAUAUAAGAAAAAACAAAUCAGGGGGCUGGACUAGAUGACCCUCAGUGUCCCUUCCGACUCUAUGAUAGCACCAUGAAAUAAUAAGAACCAUAACAGAACAGCAGAAAUGCCAUAGAGAACUAUAUAGUUUAAAAAAAAAGUAGGAGAACAUCUCAUAACUAGAGCACCUUGAUGUAAAUGGCAACUCCUUCAUAAGCUGGCAUUGUCAGGAGCUACAGGUGGUAUACAGGCCAUUUGGCCAUGUGUGGCAGAGAGAGAAAACAUUUUCCUUUAUAUUUCAAUUAUUAUCUGCCAAGCCCUCCAGCAUAUGCUCAGCUGGAAUUUAUCAGGCUUAGUAGAUGCUCUUGUUGUGCUGUGUCCCUAAGGUGAUUCACCAGCCACAUGAGUUCCUGAAGGGAGAGUGACCCAGUUUCACACGAUGCUGUGUAAUCCUUGCAUUUUAUAAAAUGGCCUAAAAAUGGACAUUGUAACUCCAGCAUCCACUAGGAUACUGGUCCUGUGACUUUUAUUAUGGAAGGAAGUAGCCAAGUUGACUCUUGGACAAAAAAGUUUCACAUAAACAAACUAAAGAAAUAUUAUUUAAUACGUCUGUCACUUUGCCUGUUUUUAUAGCCCAGCCAUCCUGCUAAGCACAGAUGUAACCAGUUGCCAUGAUGCACCUGCUUGAAUGCAGGUUAUACCAAAUUCCUAUAGAACAGGGAUGAGAAGAGAGACGGGAAGAGCAGAAGGAGAAGGCAGGGAGGGGUGUUGUACUCUUCACUUUGCUCCUUCUGAAGCCACUUCUCCCCAAGUCACCCUCCCACUUCUCCCAGGGAGGGUGACUUCCAUAACUCAGAUGGCUAUAAAGAAUGGCUAGGGAGAAGACAUUCAGUGGGAAAGCACUGGCUGAGAAAAGUUCAAGUAGCCCCUCCUGCUUGCCUCUUUGGCACACAUACCAAAUCCUCCAACAUUUCUCCAUAUUUAAAAACAAAAUAAACAUUAAGAAAAACCUUCCCUAUACAGGGCUGCCUUCAGAUGUCUUCUAAAAGGUUGUAAAGUUACUUAUCCAUUUGCCUUGAGGGUUGAAUCACCCUACCCAUUUAUCCGAUGAAAAUAGGGACAUCCUAUGGGAAAGAGGGACAUUCUGGGAUCAAAUCAGAAACCAGAACGGCUUCUGUAAAUCAAGGACUGUCCCUAGAAAAUAGGGAGAUUCUGACAUACACAUACCUCUUAUGUGCAUUUGACAACAACUGGACAGGCCAUAGCCCAGUGGCAAAGCAUUCACUUUGCAUCCAGAAGGGUCACAGUUCUAGUCCCAGGUAGGGCUGGGAAAGACCCUGGCCUAAAACCUCGGGCAGCCUCCGUCUAUCAGUGCUAGAUAAUGAAAUCUAGAGGAAGCACUGGUCUAACUUGAACUGUAGUUUUUUAAGAGUUCUGGGAAUUUUUGGUUUGUGAGGGAGACACUGUGAGGGAGACACUGCAGUUCCCUGGGUGAGAUUUAAAUGUACAGUGUGGAUCUGCCCUCAGUAUAAGGCAGUUUCAGAUGUUCAUAACAACCAGUUUUUAUAUCUAUCUAUCUAUCUAUCUAUCUAUCUAUCUAUCUAUCAUCUAUCUAUCUGGGACACGGGUGGUGCUGUGGUCUAAACCACAGAGCCUAGGGCUUGCCGAUCAAAAGGUCGGCAGUUCGAAUUCCCGGGACAGAGUGAGCUCCCGUUGCUCGGUCCCUGCUCCUGCCAACCUAGCAGUUCGCAAGCAUGUCAAAGUGCAAGUAGAUAAAUAGGUACCGCUCCGGCGGGAAGGUAAACGGUGUUUCUGUGCGCUGCUCUGGUUCACCAGAAGCAGCUUAGUCAUGCUGGCCACAUGACCCGGAAGCUGUUUGCGGACAAAUGCUGGCUCCCUCGGCCUACAGAGCGAGAUGAGCACCGCAACCCCAGAGUUGUCCGCGACUGGACCUAAUGGUCAGGGGUAUCUUUACCUUUUUAUCUAUCUAUCUAUCUAUCUAUCUAUCUAUCUAUCAUCUAUCUAUCUAUCCUCAGACACUGAAGUUUAAUGGGUAGGAAUACCACAUCCUUCAAAGUAUCUCUUAAAAUAAAUCUCCUUCUAUCUAUCUAUAUUUUCAUGUCCUAAGCAAUUACACUUGGCAAAUCACUCAUACAUUUCAAGCAAGGCUCUGACCUGCAUUCUAAGGUAUUGAUUUAACUUGAAGUAUAACAAUGUGGAAUCAAGGAGACCCCACAGAAAUUAUGCCGAUUAUAUGUGUGUGCGUGUGUUUAUUUUUACUUAUUUGCACGUGUCUCUUAAGAUACUAAUCACACACAUGCACAGACACGAAAUUUGCACUUUUCAAAGUAAUUUGUUGUUGUUGUUAUUACACUUCUAUCCUGUCCUUUGACCCAAAGGGAACCCAGGGCAGCAUCUUGUUGGUUGUAUCCUUUACUAUUCUAGGUCUUGUUAAUCAGAAUUUAACCCUACUUAGGGUUUGUUUUUACAAAAGAGAGAUUUGCGGCAUGACAGCUUUAAAACUUGGUUUUAGAACGGGGGGAGGGGGGAUUAAUACUUGUGAGUAUACACAAAGAGGGAAAUAUUUAAUUUAAAGAAGGGAGAGACAACAUAUUCGUCCUGUAGCAAGAUCCUCUUAGGAAUGGGGGAGAAGUGCAAUUCAACCAGCAUUUCCAGGUGUAUCCACCUGCACUUUUCAAAACAGUAUGCACACCAAAGCUCAGCCACCUUCAAAAUUUGUUAUUCCCUGAAUUUUGUAGUCCAGUUCAUCAGCCAAGUAAUGUGUACAAAGAUGCAUAUACUAGUAUAAAGUGUGCAUAAAAUGCACAUAUUUGUGAAAAUAACACACAAAAGUGCCUUAUAUUAGGUAAAAUUGCUUGCAGAAAUUAGGAGAAACUUGCACUAAAAUGCUGAUACAUUUUUGCAAGGGCUUAAAGAAAUAUAUGGCGCACUAAUGUGAAAAUGGGAAGAAACUGAGACACACAAAAUCAACAGAUUUGUCCAUCCCUAGAGCCCCCUAAGCUAAACCACCUGGGAGCUGGACUCUCCUGCCCAUGAUGCCACUCCUUGCCCCCACAUAUUCAGAUCACAUUUCUCCCAUCAGAGAGUGGCAAUGGCCAGGCAAAAUGCAAGACCCCUGAGACAUCCCUUGUGGGCUGGCAUCCUUCUCAAUAAAACCUCAGGUAGAAGGCACAGGGAACUAAAAGAUUGUCUCAACCCUCUACAUGCCCAACCAAUCACUGCAUCUGUAGGUGCCAUACCAUUUGGAGGUUCAUUCUGCAUGAUGUUGGAAUAGGUGUUUAGUGUGGUGACAUCCAUCCUUUGGAAUUUGCUCAUGUUACUUAUCUGACAAGCUUUGUUUUUUGGAGGCGUCUUCUAAAUACAUUCCACUUUCAACAUGCUUUCAAAAUGAAGAUCAUUAUCCCAAUUGGUAUACGUACAGUAUUGGAUCUGAAUUGAUUUUAUGUAUAUAUGUACUAUUUUUGUUAUAUUGUUUAAUUUAUGUAAUUGUUUUAAGUUUGUGUGUGUGUGUGUGUGUGUGUGUGUGUAUGAGAGAGAGAUGGCACCCGCCCUGUGGAACGCCCUCCCAUCAGAUAAACAACUACCUGAGAUAAACAACUACCUGACAUUUAGAAGACAUCUGAAGGCAGCCCUGUUCAGGGAAGUUUUUAAUGUGUGACAAUUUUGAUGUAUUUUUAAUCUUUGUUGGAAGCCACCCAGAGUGGCUGGGGAAACCCAGCCAGAUGGGCGGGGUACAAAUAAUAAAUUGUUGUUGUUUUCGUUGUUGUUGUUGUUAUACCGUUCAUAAAGGAAUUCAGUAAAUAAUAAAACAAGAGAGGAGCCAAGGGCUCCCAAUUGGCUAGCACUGCUGACUUUUUUCAUGCUCACCCUGCCAAACUCACUUGUUUUUCCAUUCAUUUCACUGAAGUCCCACUUAGCUACCCCAUGGCUAUCCCACUUAGCAAGGAAAAAUGGCUAUGACCUGAUCUAAAGGGUCCUUCAAAUUACCAUUUUCCCCCAUCAUGAAGUGAACCCGCAACACCACUGUGCAGGAGACAAUCUGGGUCUUGAGAAGAGUCCUAUAUAUAUAUAUUCAGAAACUAGAGUGAGUUUGAGAUAUGGUGUUGUAUUCUCUGUACAUACAGUGGACCAAAUUUCACAAGACUAGAAGUCACAUGGCUUGAGAGCUGGUACGUAUGACUGACACCAUCUGCCCAGGGGACACUGCCUUCCUUGGACACUCACAUUUUGUGAUACCUAGACCUGGUUGUUUGGGGAGGCGCUAUUCCCCUUGGCCAGUGCGUGUCCUGUGUGGCAACAACAGCAGCCUCAUGAGGAGAGGUCAUUUUGCAUCAAUGUUCUGCCAGCAAGGACAGCCUCCUUUGCCAAAGGUUCUGAAAGCCAGAAGGUGCUGAUACUAUUUGGCUUACCAGGCCUAAAAGGUUUAAGGAAGUGUGUAGUAGAGAAUUUAUUAAGUUUUAGAUGGUUUUAUUAUGUAAUUUAAACACUCUGAGAACUUCUUCUUGAAAAGCGGAUAAAUAAUGAUUUAGAAAAUCACCUUGUGGAGAAUAAGGCCCUCUACUUAACCAAAUGAAUACAGCGAAAAUACCUCCAAUAUAGCAAAGUGGCACAAAUUUCUCCAUACUUCACUGAUCCAAUUAUCAAAUUAGCCUUCUUCCAUAAUAGUCCCUGUCAUGGAAUUUACUUUUUAUGAACUGCAGAAACCCAUACCUAUUUUUUUUUAAUUUUGUACUGCAUUCUUCACUUUGAAAUGAGAAAAUCACAGACAGAUUUCAAAAUUCAAACUGUGUGGUUGGGACCUAUAGAAAUCACGUUACCUAUACUGAAGGGUUUGCAUUAUGAUUAGUUGGUUUGACAAAUUCUGGGAUAUUAACUGCCCCCAAAAGAGAUUGUAAGGCUCUAUGACUGGGUCAGCGACCUUUCACCUUUAAAACUUAGGUUGCCAUGGCAACUAAAAUCAGCCUCAUUAACUGGAUAAACUAGUGACAAAUAUAAACGGUUGUUCUGCAGCUAAUUAAUCUUUUGAAUUGUAGACCCAGUCCAUUUACACCCAUGUAUAGGAUCCCAUUCACGGGAGACUUUUUCUUAAAGCAAAAAAAGACGAAGCUUUAUGUCAAAAAAUAUGCUGUUUUGUGUCAAUUCUUACAUUGGUUUUUAAAAAAUAAUAAUUAAACACCAAUUUGCAUUACUCAGCAUUGUAGCAAGGAAUGGCGUUCCUCAAGGUGAAUUCAGCAUGAUAAUCACGCAGCCUCCCUUUUUACGCACUGUUUGUUUAUUUUAUUUCUCCCCCCCAAAUGAUAAAUAAUAAUAAUAAAUUCGAGUCCUCCUUUUGUUUAGAGAAAUUCAUUUCCUUGAUUGGAGGGCCAAAAUGAAAGAUUUAUGGAUGCCUGUUUCUCAUUGGGAAGAAGGAAAGCGAUCUGUUUGCAGGAGUUAUAUUUUCAGGCACUUUGCUGAGGCACCCCAACCCCCCUCGGUUCCUGACUGUAAAAUAAGAAAACUAUUACCCAGCUGGGGUAACAAUAGGCUCCCACAGUGCUUUUCUGCUCAGACCGCAGCUGCCAGUGAAAGUGGAAACUACAACAGCAGGAUAACAUUCUUUUCUUACAGCCUGUUUCUAUGGACAAGGAGCCCUCCCACUGACUCAGUGUAUUUUCUAUGCAAAACUGCAGAAGAAGUGACAUUUUAAAAGUUUUGACCUUUGUUGUGUGUAUGUGUGUGUGUUUUAAUAAAAAAAGGGGGUUUCUCUCUCGCGCUUUCUUCCCCCCCCCUUGCACGAACCAAUGUAUACAUUUUGCAACCUGACAGCAUGUCUGUUAAGAGUAGCAAUAGUCAUUACUGUAAUAAUGAAAUGUUUCAAAAUUUGAAAAUUUUGUGCAGAUAACCUUUGUCUGGGAAACAGUCGCAAUGUGGAAGGUGGCUCUACUUCUGUGAUUGUUGCGAGGAAAACAGACGAAGGGGACAGACAUCAAAAGAGCCUUGGAGAACAGCGCUGCUCCUAGUGUUUAUGGCGUUCCUUUGUGAUUCUUAAUACAACUGUCUAAAGCAAAAACAUAGAUGAUCACUGAAUAUUUUGGAAUAUAUUCAGGGAGUGCGAGUUCCCAAAAUCUGAUGGCAUGAGUUCUGGUGUUGCUGCUUUAAAAAGAAAGAAAGAAAAAGCCAAAGCUGUUGGUAACAUUUGUUUGAAAUUUGCAAAUAAAUGUUUGUGUUGUGCUGUUUUCUUCCAACUCUGGAACAAGUGGUAGUCCCUGGGGUGGGAGAAACUGGAAAGAAAAGAAAUCAGGCCAGAUUGGCAGUAGGAUAUGGCAGUUCUGCAUCUUCCAGCAUGUUAUUGUCUUUUUUUCUGACCAACUGCCUAGAAUAUAGCUUAUUAAAGAUCCCAUAGCCAGUGGAAAUUUUUGCAGAAGCUCAUCAUGACAGCCCCAUGAUAUCCCAUAGUAAUACCUCAGAUAAGGGAGCAGUGGUGAUCCAUUAUAUAUACCUCCUAAAGAACAGCAGUACAUAGAAUAAUACCCAAUUUAUUAGGCUCAGCUGACAGUAAUAGUAUAUUGAGCUAAUAAAGGGUGGAACUCGCAUGUUGGAGUUGGGCUGGGAGAAUCUGGG